rnacentral:lncRNA from 1 species
GGCACUCGACUUCAAGGGAUGACGAAUUUUGUAGCUGGAAAAAGCAAAAGAAAAGCCAAAAAGUUAUAGGAUCCUUUCUUUGUGAUUUUUUAGCAAGAUCGAUGCCCGGCAAUGGUGUCAAAUGCCACGGGAAGAUGAAAAAGAGAGAGAGGUGGGAUCGACAUUUACCAUGAACUCUGGUGGCAUCUCCAGCUCCAAUUUUCGAUGGACAUAGGUUUAGGAAAAUCAGCAAAAAUGAGGAAGAAAGAGAUAGAGGAAGAAGAGAGGAGGGCCAAUGUUCAUCGUGAUAUGCCUUGGAGGGGGG